UUUUUAUUAGAGGCUAAAAAAAAAUGUUUAUGCAAUGAUAAAACGAGUUAAGCAUUUUUUUUUAAGUUGCCGACUCACCUGACAUUGGAACAACCA